UACGUAGGGAGCAAGCGUUGUCCGGAAUCAUUGGGCGUAAAGCGCGCGUAGGUGGCUUCGUAAGUCCGUUGUGAAAGUCAAAGGCUCAACCUUUGAAAGCCGAUGGAUACUGCGGAGCUAGAGUACGGAAGAGGCGAGUGGAAUUCCUGGUGUAGCGGUGGAAUGCGCAGAUAUCGGGAGGAACACCAAUGGCGAAGGCAGCUCGCUGGGACGGUACUGACGCUGAGGCGCGACAGCGUGGGGAUCAAACAGG
rnacentral:rRNA from 1 species